rnacentral:rRNA from 1 species
UACGUAGGGUGCAAGCGUUGUCCGGAAUUAUUGGGCGUAAAGAGCUUGUAGGCGGUUUGUCGCAUCUGCUGUGAAAUUUCGGGGCUCAACCCCGAACUUGCAGUGGGUACGGGCAGACUAGAGUGUGGUAGGGGAGACUGGAAUUCCUGGUGUAGCGGUGAAAUGCGCAGAUAUCAGGAGGAACACCGAUGGCGAAGGCAGGUCUCUGGGCCAUAACUGACGCUGAGAAGCGAAAGCAUGGGGAGCGAACAGG